GACGUAGGGGGCCAGCGUUGUUCGGAAUUACUGGGUAUAAAGGGUUCGUAGGCGGUGUGGCAAGUCGGGAGUGAAAUUUCUGGGCUCAACUCAGAGACUGCUUCCGAAACUGCUGUGCUUGAGUGCGGAAGAGGGUCGUGGAAUUCCCAGUGUAGAGGUGAAAUUCGUAGAUAUUCGCAAGAACACCAGUGGCGAAGGCGGCUCACUGGCCCGGUACUGACGCUGAGGUGCGAAAGCGUGGGGAGCAAACAGG
rnacentral:rRNA from 1 species